AGGACUCCGCCGCGGGGCUUCUGGGAAAGAAAAAUGGCUGCGCCCUGGCUUCGUCUUGGAAUGGAGCAGUUCUUUAAGAUGCCGGCGGCAAUGGGGCGCCAAGGCCGAGCUUACAGCACGUCCCAGACUUUUGCUGAGGUACUACGGCUGCCGAAGAAGCAGCUGACCAAGCUAGUGUACCCGCUGCAGGAACUCGAGCAGCACCUUGUUCCGGACUCAAGGCCCGACCUUCACCUGAGGGUCUUCGACCCUAGCCUGGAGGAUAUCUCGAGAGCGGAGAGUGUUUUCGCUUCCUCCGCCCGGAACCGUAUUGAGUACGUCAGUUCCGCGGUGCGGCUAGAUCACGCCCCGGACCUCUCCCGACCUGAGGUAUGUUUUAUAGGCAGAAGCAAUGUUGGAAAAUCGUCCCUAAUAAAGGCUUUAUUUUCAUUGGCCCCAGAGGUUGAAGUUAGAGUCUCAAAAAAACCGGGUCAUACAAAGAAAAUGAAUUUUUUCAAAGUUGGAAAGUAUUUUACAGUGGUGGACAUGCCAGGUUAUGGCUAUAGAGCACCAGAAGAUUUUGUUGACAUGGUAGAGGCCUAUCUAAAAGAACGAAGGAAUUUGAAGAGAACAUUUUUAUUAGUGGAUAGUGCUGUUGGAAUUACAAAAACAGACAAUAUUGCCAUAGAAAUGUGUGAAGAAUUUGCAUUACCUUAUGUGAUGGUAUUAACAAAAAUUGACAAAUCUUCCAAAGGACAUCUUUUAAAACAAGUACUUCAGAUCCAGAAAUUUGUCAACACUCAAACACAAGGAUGUUUUCCUCAACUGUUUCCUGUAAGACAUUCAGAGCUGUCCCCUUCAGGGCAAUUUUGGUCACCCUGCAUCAGAGGAAGAGCACUCUGAAGAACAAAUUUGAGAGGGAAGAGGCUGGAGACAUGGAGACUAUUACAAAUGCUGAAGAUAGAAAUGAUGAAAGCCUGAACCUUCAAGCACUGAAAUGUUGAAAGAUAACCCUACGGGAAUCUUGGGAUUAUCCCAAGAUACAUGAAAUAAGAGAUGAAGAAAAGGAAGAGGUUGGGAAAGAGGAAGGAGAAAUGAGCUGCCAGCAAACAGAGAAAGGUGAGAUUGAAGCUUCAACUGCUAAGACAGACUCUCAUAGCUCCAUUCAUUUAAUUUAUCUUUCAUUUAUAAAUCUAGAUUCACAUUUUAGUAGACACGAAUAGCUUGAAGCGAAUUUAUUCCCUGUGAGCCUUUGCACUGACACCUUAAGUUUUGCUUAAAUCAGUUCUGUUAUGGCUUGUUCAAUACCCAUUGUUUCCACCAGGGGGCAGCAGGAAGCUGUACACAUACUACCCUUUAAAUUGGUCACCGAAACCACCAAGAUAAUCCCAGCUUCACAAACCCAAACAGAAUGGAGACAAAUCGAUUUAUACUUGGCAGACGAGAUUCAGAUAAUCAAAGAAAUGUCUCCCAAGCAAAGUAGAAGCGCAUGAUUUCCAGGCUUGGCCCCUGAAGAGGAGGCGAGUCAUGUGAUUUGAAGGCCUAGUUUUGGAUGGGGGUAGCAUAACCUAAAUUCAUUCUCAAGGAGCAGAAUCACCUGAUCCUGGAAAUGGCUAGGCUAAAAAGAAAAGAAAAAGAAAAAAGGAAAAAGCUGAUAAUCAGAUAAUUGGAUGUAUUUUCUCCACAUUAAAGACUAAAUGCCAAAAAUUGGACUUGGAGAAAAUGGAAUCAUUAUUUCCUCCUCUUUUAUAGCCUUGAGGCAAAAUUUCCAAGUCAAAUUUAUAAGGUGUACAGGGAUUUGGUUGCUUGUUUUGCUUUCUUCUCUCUUGCCAGUUACCUCCUGAGAGCUGGGCACGGAUCAGUGAGGUCCCUCCAUCAAGGCUGCCAGCAAGUCUGUGCCUGAUUUGGCUCACCUGGUGCCAAUGUCAAGUCCUGAUGCUUUGGAUAGUCCUUGGUUCUCCCCUCCAGAGUGGGCUGGACCCAGGCUCCCAGGUGAGGGGGCAACCUCUGCAUAGAACAUCCUGCUUCCUGUCAACUGAGGCAUUGGGCUUUUUGGUGAUGGUCAGGGUUGGCUCCUUUCUCUCUGCUUUGAGUACAUUCAGGCUAGCAUGGGCAGGGAAACUCACAAGGGAGAUGGCCAGUCCAGGGGCACUGGGUGGUCAUGACUUCCCCUCCUAUCUGGGACACAGAUCCUUCAAAUUGGGCUGGAGUCAUGGUUUCCACAUCCUGUGGUUGGCUAGCCUACCCACCAUGAUACCUUUCUGCUUGGGGAUGUCCUGUGUGGGCCUCAGUAAGGAUUUUCUAGGACAUGGCAUCUGGUUUCCCAGAGGAGGAAGCAGAAGUAGAGCAACUGGUGGUUUCCAGUCUUGAAGGUCUGGGAUCAGGUGCUAUCAAUAGUGCUGGGGCCACCAGCUCCUAGCUCCUUGGAACUCUGGGCAAGAAGGUAUUCUCAUUUCCACCUCUCCUGUUCCUCCAAGGAGGGGAGGGAUAUUCUGGUUCACUUCUAGUUCAGGUGCCAAGCCCUAAGCUCAAAGUUCCGAGAGCCACAGUAAGUUGUGAGAACCACAAGUUAGAAUCUUUGAUCAAACAAAGGGUAUGCCCCAUGCUUAAUAUAAUAAUUUCUUAGCAGAUAUCUGUGUUUAGAAAAUUGAAAAUAGGCUUAGGAUGCCUUGUGUUUCCUACAUAACUUCCAGUCAAUUAUCAACCUCCUCAUGAUAGAGUGGAUCUGAUGCCCAAUACUGGGGGUGGGUCAGGGCAUCACAAUGGAAAACUGAAAAAAAGAGGACAGGAUUAAACAAUGAUGACACAAAUUCAACCUUUCCAACAUAAAAAUGACUUAGAAAAUGUGAUCUCCAGACUUCCAUUCACAAACAUGCAGAGCCAGUCUUUCCUGAGAACCCAUGCCUAGCUGUGACCUUACAACAGGCACAGGUCCAUCAUCACCCUGAGCUCAACCCUGUCCUUCCUGGAUCUGCCUCGCCUGAUGCCUCAGUAGACAGAUAUCCUAGUACUUUGCAGGAGUUGGGGUGGAGGAGUGGCAGAGGCAGUGGCCCCAGCACUAUUGAUAGACAUUAUACCAAGAACUCCAAGAAGAGAAGAUUCUCAUGACCUCCACAAGCCUUUGGGGAGGCUACCAGCUCCUCCUCUCUACGGCCCUACCUGGAUAGUCUGAACCUCCAGGCCCCAUCCUUCCCCCACCCCCCAAAAGGCUUCUGGAAGGCCCAGCACUCUGCACCCAGGCUACCAAUAGCACUAGGAACCAGCCAGGACACACAGAUGCCUUUCCACUAGAAGAUCCACAAUCAAAAGACCUCAACACUUAAAUCCUAAGAAUCUUGUAAAGAAAAUGUUCUUUUGUUACUUGUAAGCAUUAUCACUUUUUAUUGAAUUAUGCUAUGAAUGAGUACCCUUGAAUCAAAUGAGACCAAUUAAGUUAAUGAAAAUAAAAUGUUUACCUUUCUAGAAACUUCCAUCAUAUUGAUAGACCCUUCAGACCUUUUGCAAAACAACACCAAACCAUCCUUCAGGUGGAUAACUCAAGCGCUAUUUCUUCCUAGAACUAUCAUGCUUUACUUUAAGGUUUCUGAACCUUGGCACUUAUUGGCAUUUGGGAUGGUAGAAUUUUUUUUUCUAACAGGCUGUCCUGUGUAUUACAGGAUAGUUAGCAGCAACUGUGACCUCUGCACACUAAAUACUAGUAGCAUAUACCCUCGCCCUCUAAGGUGGUAACAAUCUUAAAAUGGCUAGAGACAUUACCAUGUGUCCCAUGGGGAGCAAAAUUGCCCCAUAAAGAGCCACCAGGGGAAAAAUCCAUCCCCUACCCAGAACCACUACUCUGACUCAUAAGACAGCUUCCCUUCUAUGAACGCACUUUCCUCUGUCCUCCUCCAACACACACACACAUGUACACACAUACACACACACCUGUCUUCCUGUUCCCUUUACCCGAAACACUUUGCUUUUCCCCCUUUCCACUGAGAAACUCAUGCUUAUUCUUUAAGGCGUAAAUCCAGUGCUGCUCUUUAUAGCUGGCAGUCUGUGCCAGCUCAAUUUCCUUUCCCUAGUCCCACCGCCAUAGGCACCACAUACUGCUUUACUUGUCCUAAGUAAAGUGUUCACCAUAUGAUGUUGCCGUGACUUGUUCCCCCUUUCCCCUUCUUCCAAGAGGCCAUGAGUUCCUUAAGAGCAAGCUCUGUGUACCCCUACUGCCCAGUGUGGUUUCUGUGUGUGCGUGUGUGUCCCGACAAAUAUACACAGCACUCUACUCAAGUAAAUGUUUUUGUUGAGGCAUAAGCCAAAGUUGUAAGCUAUGUCAUUUACUAUAUUUUCUAAAAGAAUACAGUGAUUUUAGAAUUUAUCAAGAAAACUGAUUUUAGUUUGUCUAGGAUUCCCACCACCCCGGGCCUCUACUAGAUACUGGGUAAGAACAAGUUAAUUUGAAUAGAGACAGUGGAGGUUUUCUUAAAAAUACUCUGUUAAUAUCAGAGACAAAUGUGGGUGAAUACAGAAAGGCAAUGGGUUGUGACACCGUCCGAGUGAAGCUUUACCACAUGAAUUCAUGUGGGCUGGGAAUGAAUGAAAAUCAGGAUCAGGCAACCCCGGGACAGGCAAGGAGAAGCCAUUGCUUUCCUAACAAAAGGUGGCAGGAACAUGUCAGAGUGACCCAGGAUUGGAAGUGGAAGAAGGGAAGGGGAGUAAGUAGUAAAUAAUAGAAGUAAUAAAUAAUAUCAUCAAAUCUUUAGUUUGGAUGCUGGGAUGCUGAUUGACCACUCACCAAAAUGUAAAUAUUAGGGAAUGAAGGGAUUGAACUCAGCAUUUGGGAUACCAGUGGGCUAAAGGUCACAGACAUGGCUGGAAAUGGGAGUGUGAGGCUCCAGAGGAGCUGAGGCACCCAGGGACCAGCUUUGGGAGUCUAUUACUGAGACCAAGGGACAGUAUAAGAUGACUGAGGAAGGGCAGAUGGGAUCUGUGAUAAGAGAAGAGGGGCUGGCGAGGACAGCAAGCAGGAGCAAGAAGGAAGCCAGGAGCCACAUGCUGUGGAAGCCAGGAACGAAUGACAGUUCAAGAUUGUGACAUUUCAAGGAUUUCAGUGGGGCAGAAGUUGGUGUGAAUGAGAGCUGCGGAUGGGCCAGGGGUUUGUUGAUCAGGGGGUCUGUUGACUUGGGGGAAGUAAGACUAGGGGGGAGGAGGAGCUGAAAGCCAAACUGUGAGAAGCAGAGGACCAUGGAGACUGUGACGGUGGAGCUAGAAGAAACCAACCCCUCAAUGCACAAGUUAGUAGGAGGAAGGCAGGCAGCCCUGCAAUAGCUCAGGGGGAUAGCAGGGUUCAGAAAGGUUCUGUUUGUUUUUAGGUUGUGCAAGACUGGAACUUGUUUGUUGACAGAGCAAAAGGAAUAGAGAAAUAGAAGAUUCUGAAGCUUUAAGACAGACAACUUAAUAAGCAAAGUCUUGCAAGGAAAUGGGAUGGGAUCUGGCUCCUUGAGGAAGGGCUGCCUUUGAAAGGAGUAAGGGCAUCUUCCCCUUAGAGAAAAGUAAAGAAGGGGUUAGGAGUAAUGAGUCACAUCACCAGAACAAAGAGGAGAGUGGAGGAACCUCACUGCUAGACAUUCCCACCCUGCUCGAGCAAGACGGUAGACUGUGCAUAGAGGCCUGCAGAGUUUGUGAAAUCUGAGUUCCACACUGAUGAUCCUACAACAGGUAUUCCAGGGAAUUGACCAGAAAUGAUUUAAAAGACUGCAAGGCCAGAAGAGUUUCCACAAUUCCCUUCAGGUGGACAUAGCUUUUCCUGAAAAACUCCUACUCACUCUUCAACAUCCAACUUCAGUGUUCCCUUCUCUGACACAUCCAGAUGGAAACUGGGAGUCAUUUUAUCUCCUCGCCUCCAAGAUUUUUAUAAAAAUAUUUACCAUGUUGUGUUUGAAAUUCUGUUCACUGAGUUAUUCUCCUGAGCUUCUCAAAGUUUCUAAUUCGUCUCUGGAUUCCAGCACCUGGGGCCAUGACUCACACACUUUAGGUACUCAAAUCAUGAUGAGUGAGCGAACAAAGGAGUGAACUGACAUUUCCCCUGCUGGUGGAAGCUCACUUCUGCUGAUAGCACCAUUAACUAGAGCAGAGAGUCCUGAGGAGAGGCUGCGCUGCUUCUCUGGCUGCACAAGAUCUGAGAAAAACCACACAUGUGGAUAUAAAAGCACAUGAGAACAAUCAUGGCCAUGAAAUGAAUGUGAAAUGCAAAUGGUUUUCUCAAGACCCAUAUGCUAUCCUGACCAGCAGAAGAAAAGAGCAGGAGGUCUGACCAGGGAUGGGGGAAAAAAAAAAAAGGCCCAAGGCCCAAGAGAUCAUUUUCAGCUGGGAACAGAAUGACUUCCUAAAUAUUGGGAGGGUGUGCCCCAGAGAGCUGAGCACUACAGAUGCGCUCACUGAAAGAAAACAACCCUCAUUUUUUUUUUUACAUAAAUUCUGUUUUGAAUCAGACUGUCUCUCUAGCAUAACCUUGCUGCUGAAAGUCACAGCUCCAUGAAAUCCUGUUUCAGAUGGAAUUUGGUGAACUUAAUGUGAAUUCAUGGUACCCAGCAACACCAGUGAUGCUUGUACUGAGCCCUACCAUAGGUCCUGUGUCUAUCUCAUGAUCUCUCUGCUAGUUGGGGUGAUUGCCUUUGUCUUAGACAUGGGGAAAAUGAGGCAAGAAGCAGAGAAGUUAGACCCCAGUCUGCAGCGCCAAGAUUAAAGACAGAGUCUUUCUAGCUGCAAAGCCCUGCUCUUCCUACUCUAUUGUGUGAAUGCUCCAGCAAGUACCAUCACAGAAGGGUAGUUGUGGGGACACACAGAAUCAACUCCAGCUUCAAGGACAUGCACACAAUAGUAGUAGUCAGCAUGUUGGAGCUGGCAGGGCUUUAAGGGGUCACCCACUUCACCCCUGUGCAUCUUAGAGAUGAGGAAACUGAGUCACCAAGAAAGCUCACUGCCUUUGGUCACAUUGCUUACUAGUGGCAAAGCAACAAUAAAAUCCAGGAUCCCAGGGUCCUUCCUGUGUCUUCUCACCCUGAGUCCUUGAAAGCCUCCCCCAUUGGACAGGAGCUUAUCUCUAGCCAAAAUAUCAUCUGUGGCUGAGCCAGGUCAACUCACUUCCUGGGCAAAUAGCCCUGCAUUUUUCAUAAAACCAAAUGCACAUAAACCUGAAUGUGAUUCCAGCAAAACUACAAUGUCUACUUGGUGGUAAAAGAAAUCUUUAACUGAGCAUCUCACCAAAUACCUCUCUCUGCUGCCCAAACCUCCCCAGCAUGUAUUUCUUAUGCUGAGGAAGCUGUUUAGCUAGGAUCAGGUGGGGGUCAUUGCCAGCGCAGCCAGGGGGACAUCGGGCUCAAGGUUAAGGCCAGGAGCCUACUAAAGCCAACCCAGAUGGGAGGGAAUGUGGUACCCAAAUCCCAGAUAUUCUAUGUUUACUAAACUGAAACUCUGUCAAGCCCCUUCAGGGAGGCCUCUUAGGACCACUGUUGGGUGGUUAAAAUGAGUAACCAAGCCUUUAGAAGGGCUGUGCUCAGGUACUCCAUGCCCCUGUGUUUAGAAGUUACAAUAAUAACACAUAUUGCUCUGGUGUAUCUACCUCAGACACCCUCAGUGGGUGAUUCUGUCCAGUGGAGAGCAGGGGCUAAGAUAUGUUGGAUUGUUUUGAAGACUCUGUGUGUCCACCACAGCAAGAAGUGGCAUGGACAGGUUACCGAGGAGACUUGGUUAUACCUUAAAAGAGCUUCUCUAGGUUUCCUGGGAUUAUAGGAGCAGUAUGGACAGUUUCCACCCUCAGCAGGAAGGGACAGACAUCUUAUGGAUAUCUUUGAAAUAGUUUUCUAACACCAGGAAACUUCAAGAAGUUUAUCCCCUUUACCCCAUUCUUCCAUUAUUGACUAUUAGUUUUUAGAGAAACACACACACACACACACACACACACACACACACACAAUUUCUCACAAUCUGGAGUCUGAGAAAUCCAGGAUUGAGGUACCAGCAGAUCCAAUGUCUGGUGAGGACUUGCUUCCUGGUUAGCAGAUGGGCAUCUUCUUGUAGCAUCCUCACAUGACAGAGAACAGAAGGGAGGGGAAAAGGAAGGCAGGGAGAGGGAAAGAAAAAGAGAGGAAGAAAGCUAUUGAGUAUCUUCACAUGAGGGCACUAAUCUCAUUCAAAAGGGCUCCAGCCUCAUAACCCAGUAACUUCCCAAAGAUCCACCUCCUAAUGUUACAUGGGAGUUAACAUUUCAACUUAUGAAUUUGGGGCAGGGGACAAAAAAACUUCAUUCCAUAACUGAAGGGAGAAUAACAGAAGCAAGAGUUGCCAAGAAAAAAAAAAAACAUGAUUUUGCUUCAGGCUGGCCCUUCUCUUGUGCCCUUUUGGAGUGUGUAUUAGUCACCGUUCCCUAAUCAUAACUUGCCAUCAGCCUCCUUUGAUUCCUGAAGUCCAUGAAGAAUGCAAGUGCUGAUAAUUUAUUGAAGAAUUUCCUCCACUUUUAGAGAUCUUGUGAUUUUCCACCUUGGAGAAAGGGCUUCCUUAGGGAUGGAGUGCAAUCAGUGGACACACUGUCUUGUCCUGAGCUCAUCUCUCCAGUGCCUCAGCCUUGACCUAUGAUGUCUGUUUUGGCUGUUCUAGCCUUGGACCCCUACUCAGUGACCUCAUUGCUGCCUUUAUUGGUCUUUGCCAUAUGGCCUGUAGGAAUUAUAAACCCAGAACUAAACUCCACAGGCCAGAACUGCCAAGGUAAAGCAGUAUUAAUCCACCUGAGCCAAAGUUAUUGCAUUUCCUCCAGCUCCACACGAAUGAAGAAAUUUGUCAAAUAUUUAUUCUGGAAGAGAAACCAAAAUCAAGUUAAUGGGAAAGGAGAGUGAAUGAUUGAAUUCUGUUAUUGUCUUUCCUGGCUCUCUAUGUUGCUGGUGAAAGCCAUAAAACCUUAUUUGUGCUACUCAUUUUCAUAUUUUCUUGCUUACAUUAUAGCUGAAAGAAAAGUCAGGGCUGGCUCCAGAUGAAACAUCUCUGCCUGGAAAAGGAACACUUUGUCCCAGAGCCACAACUGGCACAGCCCUGCAGAGCAAACUUACACAAUGAAGUCAGGGUGCAAGUCAAACAAGGGAAGAAGUGGAAAGAGAAAAAGCCCAACAGAUGUAGCCUCUUUAAUUUAGUAAAGUUUGUGGAUAGAUCCACAGAAAUUAUCAUGAGUACCUGGUUUGCUAGCAGUAGCAGGUUGGUCUCUGGAUCUUCCCCCAUCUGAGUUUCCACAGAUUGCCAUACAUGGCAUUUUGACAAGGAGUCUUUGAGUAAAUCCAGUCUGACAUGACCUACAAGAGGAGAUCAUACUGCUUAGAAUUAGCUCUACCAGCACCUUCUCUUUCCUAAGAUAGAAGAAGAGAAGCAUAGAUUUAAUUUUGUCUUCAUGCACAUGUGUUCAUGUGUUGAAAAUAAAAGUAUCAGGAGAGAAAGAGAACAGAAAUAAACCAAAUUCUGAUGAUCAGAGAAUACCACAAUAAAUUGAAAUAAAUUGGGGCCUCAGGCCAAGACUGGGCUGGAAAAUUAUUACAAUUACUUGAAGAAAGAUUAUGAAGGUAAGGAACAAUGGUUCUGUCAAUGAGCCAGAAGAAGCUCAAUCAAGGGCUUCACUUUUGUGCCCACUGUGCUGACAAAAGGCCCUGAUGAGAGAAGAAUAAGGCCUAGUUCCUACCUACAGUCUCUGCCAGGCCCGUACUGUGCUCAGAUUGGUUUGUGAGAGCAGAUUAUGAAGUAUUCAGAAAAUUCUCAUGCAGGUUAUUAAACUACUUCUUCCUGGAAAUUGGACAGUUUUAAAAAGAAUAUGUAAGCCAUGAAAAUGGACAAAUGUUACUAAUCGGGACUUUGCUUUCAGACAGCUGGUUUAUACCACAUAAAGGGGCCCUCCCCCAAGAUGGAAGAUGAUGGAUUUAGAGAGAACAUAAUCCAGAAAAGGACAGUGUGACUGCUGGAGAGCAGGUCUCCAGGACAUGGCAAAGCCAUUUUGUGUCAUGGAGAGACCCCUGUUGAAGGCAGAACUGGAGGAAAAUGGAGGAAAGAAAUGCCUGUGCCUUCUCCUAGCCAACCUUCAACACCAUCCCUCGCCUGCCCAUCCAGGGCAUCCCAUCUGCCUGUUCAGUUUCAAGGGAGAAGAAGAGAGGAACUCAAAGGAAAGAAGGGAAAAACAGAAUAGCUACUAAUAUAGGAUUCAUUGUCUUUUAGGGAUGACAGGGCUUGGAAGAUUACUGAACACAACCCCUUACUUCCCAAUAGGUAAAAUGACAGUACAGCCAGGCCUGGGAACCUGGUCUCACCCAUCACCCCGACUGUGAGUCAGAUGCUGUGUUGGUUCCUAACCUUGUCAUUUCCUGCUUCUACUUCUAAUACAGCUUGCUCACAAGUAGGAGAAGGAGAUGGAACUCAAAGAGAAGUUCAUUAGCCCCUCCCUUGUAGCCAGCACACUAAAUUGAUAUUGUCUUAGGAAGAAUUAGGUUUAUUAUUUUCAACUAUGAAGAACCUGCCAAUUUAGAAAAGGGAUGUGAGGUUGAAACUCUGAUAAUGAAGAUGCUGUGUAUGUACCAGCUGGCGUAAUUCGGAAAAAAAAGUGUCAUUUGUCCUAAAUUGAGUUCCAAGUCGUAAUUUCCAAUCACAACCUGUACUCCCGAGGAGACUAUCAAAAAAUGAGCUGGUGAUUUCAAUUCCUUCCAGAUGGAAAAAUAUUGAUGUCAUCCCUAAGCUUGCCUCUGAGAGAGUCGUUUUGUUCUGCCUCGCCUAACAGCGCAGCAGAGGUAGAGGUGUCAGAGUUGGAAGGAGUCCCUGAGACCAAACAGGCCCUUCUGGAGCUAUUUCCUACCUGUCAGGCUUGCACCUCUCGCACUGAGGACAGGGAAUGUGCACAGCUGCACUUUCUCAGGGAGUAGAAGAUUUGGUUCUAUGCUCAACGCCCAACCCCUGUCAUCAGCAUUAAAUUCACAUUAUAUUUUAAGAAGAGAGAUUCUUAUUAAGCCAGGCUAAAUAAAGCCUUUGUGGAAGAACAACUCCCUGCAGGUCCCAGAGGGAUGGAUGGAAUUUGGAGCUUGAUGGCCCUGCCACCUCUCUGACGGCAAGGAGUAUUCCAACAGAAACAGCAAAGGAGAUUCAUAUCCACCUUGGACAGCAUGAGCUUUCCCUAGCAAGAGGAUUUCAGAGGUUUUCUUCAAAGUGUCAUUUUGGAGGAUUAAUCUGGAGGAAGAAGAGUUAUCUGAGAUGAAUUUUCAAAAUCUCUCUUUGUGUCUAGUAAUUAAUUGUAUAACUGAGAUGACUUAAAGGGGCCCACUCAUCAUCCGUAGAUAUGUCCACCAAACAGAUGGCAAACCCCACAUAGUGGACCUAGAGAAAAGCAAAACAGAACACAUUUUCCACAUAGUAAUGCCCUGACCACUGUGAGGACAGCAGCUCCAUCUACAUAAGAUGGUUUGAGCAUCACGUGAUGCUUCCUAACAAAUCUGUUGGGUUAGAGGUUGACCAGCCAUCUCAGUUUUUUCCAAAACCAUGAGGGUUCUUGUGAAGCAAGAUUUUAGUUUGAAAUCAGGAUAGUCCUGGAUGAAAUGGGAAGAGUUGGUAAUGCCAUUGAACCCAAGGUCCCUCUGCAUCCCAAUUCAUUGACUAGGAAAUUGAAACUCUUUUAAGAAUUUAAGAAACUUGCUCCAGACCACAUAUUUAAUGGCAGGACUUGAGUUUAUAUUUUAAUCUAACUUUAAAAACAGGACUUUCCUUUCAAUGACCUAUAAUGAGAUCGAUGAUAAAUAUAUUGACAGAGAAAGGUGUCAAAAUAUUACAUAGGUGUUUGCUUGUAUUCUUCCACACUGGAAGAUGAUGUAAAAGAAAGCAGACUUAAAAACCAGGCUAGGAUGAGAAAGAUUUCCUGAAUUUCUUUGGGAAGGAAGCAGAAAGAACUCAGACCAUGGAGUAUUUCUCACUUUUUAAAGAUCACAUGGCUCCUGAUUAUCAGGACUAGUUCUGAAGUAGGGAAAGCAGCCAUUCCAGUUUUUUCAGUCCUCAUUUAUAGGACAUGAUGACCCUAGGUACAUGUGUUGUCCUGAUGAAUAAUUGAACGCUCCUCUCACCCCCCAAAAGCUCUGAUUGGAUAAUAGAAUCACCCAUACUAAGAGGCUUGCUACCACAUAGUGGAAGAAAGAUAUGAGACACUGGCAAGAAAAGAAAGCUUACUCUUUCUGGUGGCAAUUAUGAGAAGAGAUAAAUAAAUAAAGGCAGGUAAAGGAAGGAUCUGGGCAGUGGAGUACUGGAGUCUGCUUUGCUGGCUAGCAAGGUAAAAUGCAAAUCAGAGCUGCUCUAAGAUCUCAUCUCACUACAGUCAGAAUGGCAGUUAUCAACAAUACAAGCAAUAAUAAAUGUUGGAGGGGAUGUGGAGAAAAAGGCACACUUAUACAUUGUUGGUGGGACUGCAGAU